AAAGGUGAAAUUUAUAUAUUAUCUUGUAAUUUUAUUUUGUAAUUGAAGCUAGUAAAAUUUGAUCAUAAACUAGGAUUAGAUACCCUAUUAUUUCAAGUGAUGUUUAAAAAAUAAUAAAUUAGUAGUAGAUAAACACUUAAAAAUUAAAAAAUUUGGCGGUAAUUUAAUCUUUUCAGAGGAAUUUGUUUCUUAAUCGAUAAUCCACGUAAUAUCUUACUUGAGUUUGUAUACCAUCAUUAUCAGGUAAUUCUUAAAAGAAAAAUUACUAAACCUAAUUGUUUAUGAAAAUUAGAUCAUGGUGCAGCUUAUAAAUAAGUAGAAAUGAAUUACAAUAAAUUGUUUUAGACGAAUUAGUGACUAUAAAGGAGGAUUUGAUUGUAACAAGGUUUAAUAAGCCUUUUUGACAUGAGCACUAAAUUAUGUACAUAUCGCCCGUCGCUUUC
rnacentral:rRNA from 1 species